rnacentral:lncRNA from 1 species
UUUAAGGUGGUAGACCUUUGUUCGAGGAGAUAACUCUUUAAAUGAGUAAUGCAUUUAUAAAAGUCAAGUUUCAUCCAUUUAUGUUAAGCAUUUACCUGAAUCAGAUUGAAAAUUAUCUAUGUAUACUGGAAGCUUAGAAAUAUAUUGAUAAAAAUGGCUGACACAAACAUACUGCUGAUUUUAAGAGUUAUUUCCCUUAACUGAAGUCUACCUCCUUAA